UACGAGGGGGGCGAGCGUUGUUCGGAAUUAUUGGGCGUAAAGGGUGCGUAGGUGGCGCCGUAAGUCAGGUGUGAAAUCUCGGGGCUUAACUCCGAAACUGCAUUUGAUACUGCGGUGCUUGAGGACUGGAGAGGAGACUGGAAUUUACGGUGUAGCAGUGAAAUGCGUAGAGAUCGUAAGGAAGACCAGUGGCGAAGGCGGGUCUCUGGACAGUUCCUGACACUGAGGCACGAAGGCCAGGGGAGCAAACGGG
rnacentral:rRNA from 1 species